ensembl:lncRNA
UCUCUAUGGCUCUCUAUGGGUCUCUAUGGGUCCCUACGGCUCUCUGUGGGUCUCUAUGUGUCCCUACAGCUCUCUAUGGCUCUCUAUGGGUCUCUACGGCUCUCUAUGGGUCUCAGUGUGUCCCAGUGGGUCUCAAUGUGUCCCAAUGGGUCUCAGAGUGUCCCUAUGGCUCUCUAUGGGUCUCCAUGUGUCCCUAUGGGUCUCCAUGUGUCCCUAUGUGUCCCUGUGUGUCCCUAUGGCUCUCUAUGGGUCUCUAUGGGUCCCUAUGGCUCUCUAUGGGUCUCAGUGUGUCCCAAUGGGUCUCAAUGUAUCUCUAUGGGUCUCAGUGUGUCCCAGUGGGUCUCAAUGUGUCCCUAUGGGUCCCUAUGUGUCCCUAUGGCUCUCUAUGGGUCUCCAUGUGUCCCGGUGUGUCCCUAUGGGUUCUCUAUGGGUCUCCAUGUGUCCCUACGGCUCUCUAUGGGUCUCAGUGUGUCCCUCUGGGUCUCCAUGUGUCCCUAUGUGUCCCUAUGG